UAUAGAAUUUUAUAUUAACUUUACCUAGCGGUUAAUGCUGGUUUUUUGUUAAUAUUUGGUUGGGAGGAUUAUUAAAUUUAACAAACUUUAUAUCAUUAUAAACUUUGAUUUAAGAAAAUAUAAUGACCUUCAAUUUGAAAUAGUUAGAGUAAAUUACCUUAGGGAUAACAGCGUAAUAUUUUUUUAUAGACCUUAUAGAAAAAAAUGGUUGCGACCUCGAUGUUGAAUUAAGAUAAAUUUUAAAUGCAGGAGUUUAAUAAUUAAGUCU
rnacentral:rRNA from 1 species